ACGGUAACAGGUCUUCGGAUGCUGACGAGUGGCGAACGGGUGAGUAAUACAUCGGAACGUGCCCGAUCGUGGGGGAUAACGGAGCGAAAGCUUUGCUAAUACCGCAUACGAUCUACGGAUGAAAGCAGGGGACCGCAAGGCCUUGCGCGGACGGAGCGGCCGAUGGCAGAUUAGGUAGUUGGUGGGAUAAAAGCUUACCAAGCCGACGAUCUGUAGCUGGUCUGAGAGGACGACCAGCCACACUGGGACUGAGACACGGCCCAGACUCCUACGGGAGGCAGCAGUGGGGAAUUUUGGACAAUGGGCGAAAGCCUGAUCCAGCCAUGCCGCGUGCAGGAUGAAGGCCUUCGGGUUGUAAACUGCUUUUGUACGGAACGAAAAGACUCCUUCUAAUAAAGGGGGUCCAUGACGGUACCGUAAGAAUAAGCACCGGCUAACUACGUGCCAGCAGCCGCGGUAAUACGUAGGGUGCAAGCGUUAAUCGGAAUUACUGGGCGUAAAGCGUGCGCAGGCGGUUAUAUAAGACAGAUGUGAAAUCCCCGGGCUCAACCUGGGAACUGCAUUUGUGACUGUAUAGCUAGAGUACGGUAGAGGGGGAUGGAAUUCCGCGUGUAGCAGUGAAAUGCGUAGAUAUGCGGAGGAACACCGAUGGCGAAGGCAAUCCCCUGGACCUGUACUGACGCUCAUGCACGAAAGCGUGGGGGAGCAAACAGGAUUAGAUACCCUGGUAGUCCACGCCCUAAACGAUGUCAACUGGUUGUUGGGUCUUCACUGACUCAGUAACGAAGCUAACGCGUGAAGUUGACCGCCUGGGGAGUACGGCCGCAAGGUUGAAACUCA
rnacentral:rRNA from 1 species